UACGAAGGGGGCUAGCGUUGUUCGGAAUUACUGGGCGUAAAGCGCACGUAGGCGGCGCAGCAAGUUAGAUGUGAAAUGCCUGGGCUUAACCUAGGAACUGCAUUUAAGACUGCUGUGCUAGAGACCGGGAGAGGGUGGCGGAAUUCCCAGUGUAGAGGUGAAAUUCGUAGAUAUUGGGAAGAACACCGGUUGCGAAGGCGGCCGCCUGGACCGGCACUGACGCUGAGGUGCGAAAGCGUGGGGAGCAAACAGG
rnacentral:rRNA from 1 species